rnacentral:rRNA from 1 species
GUGGGGAAUAUUGGACAAUGGGCGCAAGCCUGAUCCAGCAAUGCCGCGUGUGUGAAGAAGGUCUUCGGAUCGUAAAGCACUUUCGACGGGGACGAUGAUGACGGUACCCGUAGAAGAAGCCCCGGCUAACUUCGUGCCAGCAGCCGCGGUAAUACGAAGGGGGCUAGCGUUGCUCGGACUUACUGGGCGUAAAGGGCGCGUAGGCGGCUCUGUGAGUCAGGCGUGAAAUUCCUGGGCUUAACCUGGGGACUGCGCUUGAUACUGCCGGGCUUGAGGCCGAAGGAGGGUGGUGGAAUUCCCAGUGUAGAGGUGAAAUUCGUAGAUAUUGGGAAGAACACCGGUGGCGAAGGCGACCACCUGGCUCGGUACUGACGCUGAGGCGCGACAGCGUGGGGAGCAAACAGGAUUAGAUACCCGAGUAGUCC